rnacentral:rRNA from 1 species
AUUGAACGCUGGCGGCAGGCCUAACACAUGCAAGUCGAACGGUAACAGGAAGCAGCUUGCUGCUUUGCUGACGAGUGGCGGACGGGUGAGUAAUGUCUGGGAAACUGCCCGAUGGAGGGGGAUAACUACUGGAAACGGUAGCUAAUACCGCAUAACGUCGCAAGACCAAAGAGGGGGACCUUAGGGCCUCUUGCCAUCGGAUGUGCCCAGAUGGGAUUAGCUAGUAGGUGGGGUAACGGCUCACCUAGGCGACGAUCCCUAGCUGGUCUGAGAGGAUGACCAGCCACACUGGAACUGAGACACGGUCCAGACUCCUACGGGAGGCAGCAGUGGGGAAUAUUGCACAAUGGGCGAAAGCCUGAUGCAGCCAUGCCGCGUGUAUGAAGAAGGCCUUCGGGUUGUAAAGUACUUUCAGCGGGGAGGAAGGGAGUAAAGUUAAUACCUUGGCUCAUUGACGUUACCCGCAGAAGAAGCACCGGCUAACUCCGUG